AGGGGGUCUGAAUACUUUCCGUACCCACUGUAAGUCAGUUCAUGUGAGUACAGUGGUUCAAUAUUAAUAUUAUAAAGCGAUGAGAAUAUUUUUGGUGCACCUAGAAAACAAAAACAAAUUGUAUAUUAUAGGGAGAUGAGAGGGUCUGUAUUUCUAACUUAAUCACGUGCAGCACCUCUCAGCCUAUCGUGUAAUGGCAGUGACAUCAGUCACAACAUUCCCUAGUCUGCCUUUUCUUAAAAAAAUUACAUUUUUAUCAAGCUAAAAUCUACAUAUAGUUCCUAACAAAAGUAUUGUUUAAUGUAAAACAUGCUGAAGAUUAGCAAACAGGCUGUCGAUUAAUUAAAUGAUUAGCUAUUUCCCCACAGAAGCUGUUUAAUCAGCAAUAGUGAAACCUCUCAUCCAUUGAGAUCCAUUUAAAGAACAGCCUCUGGUCUCCUUCCCUGCGUACCGCCAGAGGCGGAGCAUUAGCAUUAGCCAUUACACUUUUUUGGCUAAAGGUUGCAGGCUUGCCUUCCAGUGGCUUUGCUUUAAGCCUGAUACGAGAAAUCAUGUAGCUGAAAACUAAUCUUCUUCCUCUGAAGUUUAAUGGUGGUUGGCAAACAAACGGAUGUGCCUUACUGCCGCCCACUGGACUGGAGUCGAGGAGGUAAAUGAUAUGGAAAAAAUACUUAGCGCGUGUACAAGGUGCACUGCAUUUUUCCUUGAAGUAUUUGCACAAAGAAAUGAGAAGGACUUAAAAUUAUAUACACUCGCAUGGGAUUCGAGCUAUAUUAAUAGCCUAAGUGAGUGAGGAUUAGAUGCAAGGAUGCAAACAGGUAAAGGGGAAAAAGGUGAGAACAUUGCGUGGGGUGGGGGAUGCUCCGCAUCAUUCCGUGGGGUGAGACGCUGCGUCCAAAGCGCUAGGGGAACACCUCCGUGGGAACCGGUGUCUGAAACAAAUAUCCAGUCUCGGCAAUAUCAUAUUGACCGGCAACAGCCCAUGACAUCAUAACAAUGCGACCGUGUAUAUAAGGGGCGCCCAAGUAACAUGUCAUCUGCUUAUAGUCUGAAGGGACUGUAAGCAGGCGGGCCCCGAGGCAUGGCUAAGAGGCGCAGCGUCUCGUUCCCUGUUCUCAGGGAACCAUGGUUACAUGAGCAACCUGAGACGUUCCCUUUCAAAAGGGAACUCGCGCUGCGUCGAAAGCGCUAGGGGAAUGAUAUACGAUAUAUCGAAGCUUCAUGAAGCAGUGUUUUGAAAUUGCACAUCACUGAUUUGCAUGUAUUUAAAUUUUGUGUUCUCCACUAUUAAUUGAAACAGAAAAUAUGUGUACUACACACUGUGUAAAAGUUCCUAUGUUUUCAUUGUUUAGUUUCUGUCUUCUGUCUUCCCUAUGCCUGUCAUUUGACCCAGUUUCCCAGUGUCUAAUUAGUCAUUAUAUUCACCUGUUCUGCAUUUUGUUAGUUCUCCUGAUUAUUUAAGCUCUUCUCCUUAGUUUUUUGUCCAUUCUCGUCUAUGUAUCGUGGUUGUGUUUUUCCCUGAGCUUCUCCUGUGCAUUAUUAUAGUAAAGACUGUUUCCUUUUGAGCCAUUUGUCUUUGUGUGUUAUUUCACUACAGCCACCCAUGAUAACACUGAAUAAUCAGAAUAAAAGACAAAAUUAACAUAAACUGGUCAAUUUUCAGUUGAAAAUAUAACAGUCUCUCAAGUAGGUUUGAAUAUGAGCUUCUGGUGAAUGUGCCUUUCAUUUUGCUGUCUGUGCAACAGAAAAACUAAUGCAGAUAAUCCCUACAAAGUGAGCAUGCAAAGAUUAAGUCAAACGCCUUUUAUAAAAGAAAAAAGAAAAAAAAGGGGGAAAACAACGGUAUCAGACGUCAUGUGUGACCUUUCUAACUUAAUGCGUGUGUGGCAGGAGGGGUGAUUGUUGCUUACGUCACGGUGCUGUUUUAGCUUAUUGGCAGUGUCGCUGGGCUAUAAACACAGGAACAUGCGCAUUACCUGGGAUGCGUCACUUGGUGAACUGUUGCUUCGUUAUCGCGCUUCCGUCACUUCCCGGAACUGGAUGCGAGCGCUUGAGACGGUAAGAACUAGAGCUAGUUGUUUUGUUGGCUAUGGCAUGUGUUUACGAGAGGUGCACUCUCUGUCUAAUGUGUUUUAGAGACGGCGACUUGGUUGGAGAGCACUUCUGCCUGACUCGACGAGUUUUGCUGCAAUGUCGUUUAUUAUCGUUUACAUAUAUUGGGUAUAGACAUCGAAGAAGGUAGGUCGAAUGCUCUGCUAAUUCCUUGUUAACUGCGUUAAGCGACGUCUACAUUCAGGAGCCGCCGGUCGAAUUGAGUACAUUGCUAACUUAAUCCCUUUCUUAGCUGUGAGAACCUGACGCAGUUGCUGGAUCGCUGUUUUCCGUACUGGCCUUUGCUGGAAAAGAUUCAGUUUGUUGGCUCUUCAUAAAACAUUAAUUCCUUCAAUUGGGCCUGAGCACCAGGGGCAGAGGACUGGUUUUUAGGUGGUGGUAUAUUCCUCACAAGUGUGCAGUGACCACCUCACUGUGUGUUUGCGUGUACACAGUGAAGUGCAGUGAUUCACCUACAAGUGGUGUGGUCUGAUUAUGCGCUUCUUUUUACUGGUAAGCUCUAGUCCCUGGCCCUCAACUUGGGACAAGCUGGGACAAAUGUUUAAUUAUAUAUUUUAAUAUUGUUUUAAUGAAGAUGUCAAUAAAGAAGAAAUUUUGUACAGUUA